UACAGAGGUCCCAAGCGUUGUUCGGAUUCACUGGGCGUAAAGGGUGCGUAGGCGGUCGGGUAAGUCUGAUGUGAAAUCUCACAGCUUAACUGUGAAACUGCAUUGGAUACUAUUCGGCUUGAGAGUUGGAGGGGGGACUGGAAUUCUUGGUGUAGCAGUGAAAUGCGUAGAUAUCAAGAGGAACACCAGUGGCGAAGGCGGCUCCUGGACUGACUAUGACGCUGAGGACGAAAGCUGGGGAGCAAACAGG
rnacentral:rRNA from 1 species